rnacentral:lncRNA from 1 species
UGUGUGUGUGUGUGUGUGUGUGUCGGGCCCCGUGUGGUGCCCUCUGUGCGCAGCGAGAGCUAUAACUCAAGGUGUGCACGGGGAGAGUGAAGCGACCACGCACCUGCUUCCAAUCGGGCUCGGGCGCGAACACUCAGGCUGAUUCCUGAAGGUCGUUUUCUGAAGGAAAAGACAGAGCAUGCACUAGCCACGGGUGACAUUCCCACCCGUACAACCGCGUGGUGGGCGCGUACAUCCAACAUUGACCCAUGCAGGCGCCCGCCCACUGCGCACACCGGUCGCAGGGCACUUCGUUGUUGAACGUUGGGAGCAGCGUUUGAAGGCCGGAUCUCUCCUGGCAGUGCGGAUUCGGGACCGGCGGAAGCAGUAUGGCCUCUGCGACCGUUAUCCCUACUUUUCGGGGCCGACCCCAGGGCCCUCACAACUCCUCAUCACCGCAUAUGUGAGCGCCGCCCCCACAGGGUUUUCUCCACGACCUCGUUCUUGGCUAGGUCGCACCUCUCUUAGUACCUCCUCUCUGGCCAGAACGAAUCUUUGACUCCGAGCUGCGCAGUCUACGCAGACGGGGCAGGAUCCACUGCAGUUUUCCACAGGCAAAUACCUGCUGGCUCCACCUUAGGCGAGAUGUGGCCUCUCGGGGAGGGACCCGUUGUGGACACGUUUGCGCAGCCGGUGCCCUGGCAGGAGGGACUGGCUUAUGCCACCCUGUGCAGGAUCGUCUUCUCAGCUUACAGAGCCUAGUGUGAUUCAACAACCCUCCAUCUCUGCCCCCAACAUGCCCAACUGAUCUGGUGGAGGGAACUGAAGAUGAAGGCCUCUCAGGCACCAUGGAUGGGAUGGGUGUGUGUGAAGGGGGCAGGGUCCCCAGGAGCUGCCCCAGGUCUGGCUGGACAGUUGCACGGGAAGUCCUGUUUGUGAACUCAACGUUUCCACGGCUUUUCCAUUAAACUUUAC